rnacentral:misc_RNA from 1 species
AGCAUGGCAUUUUCAAGGAUUGCUAGGAAUGGCUUGAGAAGAGCAGGAGGCACCUUUGGUAGUUACGCAGAGAAAGGUACAGCAUGUGAGGGAGUAUCCAAUCAUAAAUGGUCUUCACCUUUCCUUAAAAAUGUUGCAGCAGGCAACAACCUAUCGUACAUUUCCAGCAUCAGGAAGGCAAAUCAUGCCAGUUUUUGGAGCAGGGGAAUUGGGGGAACCCCACAUUAUCAAUUUCCUAAUGCAGAGAGGAUUCUGGAAGAAUCAGAAAAUGAGUAUGAAGAACCAAGGUAUCCAGGUCUAGAAGCAACAAGGCCUGGUGAAAAGCCAAGGGUGGUUGUCCUUGGCACUGGAUGGGCUGCAUGUCGAUUCAUGAAAGGACUUGACACCAAAAGCUAUGAUGUUGUUUGCAUAUCACCAAGGAAUCAUAUGGUCUUCACUCCUUUGCUUGCUUCAACUUGUGUUGGAACCCUUGAGUUUCGCUCCGUAGCUGAGCCUGUUAGUCGGAUCCAAUCUGCAUUGGCAACAAGUCCAAACUCAUAUUUUUAUUUGGCUUCCUGCACUGGCAUUGACACGGACAAACACGAAGUGUACUGUGAGACAGUAAGCAAUGGUGGAUUACCUCAGGAGCCUCACCAGUUUAAAGUUGCAUAUGAUAAGCUUGUCAUUGCUGCUGGAGCUGAGCCUCUGACUUUUGGUAUCAAGGGAGUGAAUGAACAUGCUUAUUUUCUUAGAGAAGUGAAUCAUGCUCAAGAAAUAAGGAAGAAGCUCCUUAUGAAUCUCAUGCUAUCUGAAAAUCCAGGCAUACCUGAAGAAGAGAAGAACCGCUUAUUACACUGUGUCGUUAUUGGAGGUGGUCCAACAGGGGUAGAGUUUAGCGGUGAAUUGAGUGAUUUUAUCAUGAGAGAUGUGCAAGAGCAGUAUUCUCAUGUUAAGGAUCGCAUUAGGGUUACCCUCAUAGAGGCCAAUGAAAUUCUAUCAUCCUUUGAUGUUGGACUAAGGCAAUAUGCAACAAAUCAUUUGACUAAGUGUGGUGUCCGUCUUACAAGAGGUGUAGUGAAAGAGGUGCAUCCCACAAAAUUAUUUCUCAGUGACGGUACAGAAGUCCCAUAUGGCCUCUUGGUAUGGUCUACUGGUGUCGGUCCAUCUCAGUUUGUCAAGUCACUAAAUCUUCCCAACUCCCCUGGUGGAAGGAUUGGUAUUGAUCAAUGGUUGCGGGUCCCUUCUGUGGAAGAUGUAUUUGCACUUGGAGACUGUGCUGGUUUUCUUGAGCAGACAGGGAGGCCAGUGCUUCCAGCUCUAGCUCAGGUUGCAGAAAGGCAAGGGAAAUAUCUAGUUGAGUUGUUUAACAAUAUUGGAAAGCAAAAUGGAGGCAAGGCUUUCAGUGCAAAAGAUUUCUCUCUAGGAGAUCCAUUUGUCUACAGGCAUCUGGGUAGCAUGGCAUCGGUAGGGCGUUACAAGGCACUGGUUGAUCUGCGCCAGUCUAAGGAUGCAAAAGGCUUAUCACUUGCUGGAUUCAUCAGUUGGCUAAUCUGGCGCUCUGCAUAUCUUACACGAGUGGUCAGUUGGAGGAACAGAUUUUACGUGGCAGUGAAUUGGGCAACCACCCUGGUUUUUGGCAGAGACAACUCAAGGAUUGGAUAGAUUAAGAAGGGCAUACACCAUUGUCAUUUUUUAUUCUUUAUAUUGAUUUGAGCUAGAUAUCAGGUUCCAUGUUCCUUAAUCUUGACCUCCGAUUCAAAAAAUUUUGGAGUCAGGAUGUAGUUUAAGGUUUAUGUUACCAAUCAAUAUGGAUAGAUGGGUACAAUAUUAGAAAGCUAGAAACCUCAAGAAAAUAAAGGAAACACCUUGCAUAAGAAAAUAAAGGAAACACCUUGUGUAAGCCAUUUAGUGCACCAAAACCUGUUUUGCCAUAUCAAUCUCUGUGGUAAUGCAUGUUCUGUUCAUCAAUUGCUACUUGUAUUAUAAUGAAUCUGGAUCCAAGUUCAAUUCCCUAACUAAUGGACCAAACAUACCAGACUUCAUUGAACUGUCAAUCUUUUCCCUUCCUUUGAAGUUUUAAUUGAAGGAUUGCCACAAAGAGAAAAUUUCAAAAGAAUCAAAAAGAAAAGAACCAAAAAGUAAGAUUUGAAAAGAACAAUCCAAUUUACGUGCAAAGCAACAAGCUUAUCUUUCCUUUUUACAACAGGCUGCCUCUAACUCACAACAAAACAUCUCACUCUUACAAAAGAACAUCCAAAAUUGGGUCUACUGAACUAACAAAUACUAAGAAAAGUGAGAAGGAGGUCCUGCUCGUCUACUACUGAAAGAGAAAAAAGAAGCAACAGAGUGAGCCAAACCCACCACUAUAGCCACCUUCACCUGCCCUCUCUUUGGGAUUGGACGGCCAGAAAACCUUCUUGAAACCUUCCUAUUGUUGAUCAUAGCCGUUCUUGCGCCUGCCAUCUUUCUAUUCUCUCUCCCUCUCUCCACAAAGAUCAAAGAACUAUAAAGAUAAUGAAAGAAGUAAAGCUUUGAUUUGGGUUGUAUCCUGAAACCUGAGUCCCGCCUUUACUACAAAAAGAAAUCAACUAA